GAGUAAUGUCUGGGAAACUGCCUGAUGGAGGGGGAUAACUACUGGAAACGGUAGCUAAUACCGCAUAACGUCGCAAGACCAAAGAGGGGGACCUUCGGGCCUCUUGCCAUCGGAUGUGCCCAGAUGGGAUUAGCUAGUAGGUGGGGUAACGGCUCACCUAGGCGACGAUCCCUAGCUGGUCUGAGAGGAUGACCAGCCACACUGGAACUGAGACACGGUCCAGACUCCUACGGGAGGCAGCAGUGGGGAAUAUUGCACAAUGGGCGCAAGCCUGAUGCAGCCAUGCCGCGUGUAUGAAGAAGGCCUUCGGGUUGUAAAGUACUUUCAGCGGGGAGGAAGGGAG
rnacentral:rRNA from 1 species